rnacentral:rRNA from 1 species
UACGGGAGGCAGCAGUGGGGAAUAUUGCACAAUGGGCGAAAGCCUGAUGCAGCUAUGCCGCGUGUAUGAAGAAGGCCUUAGGGUUGUAAAGUACUUUCAUCGGGGAGGAAAAACAAAACUAAUAAUUUUAUUUCUUGACGUUACCCGAAAAAGAAGCACCGGCUAACUCCGUGCCAGCAGCCGCGGUAAUACGGAGGGUGCUAGCGUUAAUCAGAAUUACUGGGCGUAAAGAGCACGUAGGUGGUUUUUUAAAGUCAGAUGUGAAAUCCCUGGGCUUAACCUAGGAACUGCAUUUUGAAACUGAAAUACUAGAGUAUCGUAGAGGGAGGUAGAAUUCUAGGUGUAGCGGUGAAAUGCGUAGAUAUCUGGAGGAUACCUGUGGCGAAAGCGGCCUCCUAAACGAAUACUGACACUGAGGUGCGAAAGCGUGGGGAGCAAACAGGGAUUAGAUACC